rnacentral:rRNA from 1 species
GUCCCUACGGGGGGCAGCAGUGGGGAAUAUUGCACAAUGGGGGAAGCCCUGAUGCAGCGACGCCGCGUGAAGGACGAAGUAUUUCGGUACGUAAACUUCUAUCAGCAGGGAAGAAAAUGACGGUACCUGACCAAGAAGCCCCGGCUAACUACGUGCCAGCAGCCGCGGUAAUACGUAGGGGGCAAGCGUUAUCCGGAUUUACUGGGUGUAAAGGGAGCGUAGACGGCAGCGCAAGUCUGGAGUGAAAUGCCGGGGCCCAACCCCGGAACUGCUCUGGAAACUGUGAAGCUGGAGUGCAGGAGAGG